UAGGGAAUCUUCCGCAAUGGACGAAAGUCUGACGGAGCAACGCCGCGUGAGCGAAGAAGGCCUUCGGGUCGUAAAGCUCUGUUGUAAGGGAAGAACACGUGCCAUUUAACUGAUGGCAUCUUGACGGUACCUUACGAGAAAGCCACGGCUAACUACGUGCCAGCAGCCGCGGUAAUACGUAGGUGGCAAGCGUUGUCCGGAUUUAUUGGGCGUAAAGCGCGCGCAGGCGGUCCUUUAAGUCUGAUGUGAAAGCCCACGGCUCAACCGUGGAGGGUCAUUGGAAACUGGGGGACUUGAGUGCAGAAGAGGAAAGCGGAAUUCCACGUGUAGCGGUGAAAUGCGUAGAGAUGUGGAGGAACACCAGUGGCGAAGGCGGCUUUCUGGUCUGUAACUGACGCUGAGGCGCGAAAGCGUGGGGAGCAAACA
rnacentral:rRNA from 1 species